rnacentral:tRNA from 2 species
UAGAAGGUAGUAUACUGGCAGUAUAGAAAGUUUUGGGCUUUCUGGCCCUAGUUCGAACCUAGGCUUUCUAG